GGGGCUGACCGGUUUUGACAGCAUAGUUCUUUGUAAGUGUAAGCAUGUAGUGCGUUGCGUAAUUAGCACUUUAAUAUGAAUACGAAACUUUAAUUGGCAAUACUUCGUAUGCCAUGGCUGCUUAAUCGAUAGAUUAACAUCCAUUUGGGCCGCCGAACAGGUCAGUCCUGUUACCAUGUUCCGCCGCCGACUCAAAAACAAAACGGGAUGCUGCCCGGGAAUGAUGUGACCCUGGCUUAAGACCAUUCAUCUAAGGAUACAGUUGGUUGGUUAGGUUCCUGCUGUAUCCCGACAAACAAUAACUAAAUAAACAUGUAGAAAGCUUACGGCGGAUAUGUUUGGACCAGGGUUCGAUUCCCUGCAGCUCCACAC
rnacentral:tmRNA from 1 species